rnacentral:rRNA from 1 species
AGCAGCCGCCGCGGUAACACGUAGGUGGCAAGCGUUGUCUGGAAUUAUUGGGCGUAAAGGGCUCGCAGGCGGUUUCUUAAGUCUGAUGUGAAAGCCCCCGGCUCAACCGGGGAGGGUCAUUGGAAACUGGGAAACUUGAGUGCAGAAGAGGAGAGUGGAAUUCCACGUGUAGCGGUGAAAUGCGUAGAGAUGUGGAGGAACACCAGUGGCGAAGGCGACUCUCUGGUCUGUAACUGACGCUGAGGAGCGAAAGCGUGGGGAGCGAACAGGAUUAGAUACCCCAGUAGUCCCUGUCUCUUAUAC